AUUGAACGCUGGCGGCAGGCUUAACACAUGCAAGUCGAACGCCCCGCAAGGGGAGUGGCAGACGAGUGAGUAACACGUGGGAACGUACCCUUUGGUUCGGAAUAACUUGGGGAAACUCAAGCUAAUACCGGAUAAGCCCUUUUGGGGAAAGGUUUGCUGCCGAAGGAUCGGCCCGCGUCUGACUAGCUAGUUGGUGAGGUAACGGCUCACCAAGGCGACGAUCAGUAGCUGGUCUGAGAGGAUGAUCAGCCACACUGGGACUGAGACACGGCCCAGACUCCUACGGGAGGCAGCAGUGGGGAAUAUUGGACAAUGGGGGCAACCCUGAUCCGGCCAUGCCGCGUGAGUGAUGAAGGCCUUAGGGUUGUAAAGCUCUUUUACCCGGGACGAUAAUGACUGUACCGGGAGAAUAAGCCCCGGCUAACUUCGUGCCAGCAGCCGCCGUAA
rnacentral:rRNA from 1 species